rnacentral:lncRNA from 1 species
GAAUUCCUCAAUCUGCGUCGCGCCCUGCUAGAAAAAAAGAAAAGGCGACAUUAGACAUACACAAAGGCCUUAACAGAAAACAUACCUGCGAAUCUUCAAUCUGCGUCGCGCCCUGCUGGAAAAAAAAAGAAAAGGUGACAUUAGACAUACUCAAAGGCCUUAACAGAAAACAUACCUGAAAAUCCUCAAUCUGCGUCGCGCCCUGCUAAAAAAAAAAAAAAGGCCACACGACCUAAAGGAAUUUCCAAUCUGCGUCAAGACCUGCUAGAAAAAAAGAAAAGCAACAUUAGACAUACACAAAGGUCUUAACAGAAAACAUACCUGGAAUUCCUCAAUCUGCGUCGCGACCUGCUAGAAAAAAAGAAAAGGCGACAUUAGACAUACACAAAGGUCUUAACAGAAAACAUACCUGGAAUCUCUCAAUCUGCGUCGCGCCCUGCUAGAAAAAAAAGAAAAAGACAACAUUAGACAUACACAAAGGUCUUAACAGAAAACAUACCUGGAAUUCCUCAAUCUGCGUCGCGACCUGCUAGAAAAAAAAGAAAAGGCGACAUUAGACAUACACAAAGGUCUUAACAGAAAACAUACCUGGGAAUCCUCAAUCUGCGUCGCGCCCUGCUAGAAAAAAAGAAAAGGCGAAAUUAGACAUACACAAAGGUCUUAACGGAAAACAUACCUGGGAAUCCUCAAUCUGCGUCGCACCCUGCUAGAAAAAAAGAAAAGGCGAAAUUAGACAUACACAAAGGUCUUAACAGAAAACAUACCUGAAAAUCCUCAAUCUGCGUCGCCCCCUGCUAGAAAAAAAGAAAAGGCGACAUUAGACAUACACAAAGGUCUUAACAGAAAACAUACCUGAAUUCCUCAAUCUGCGUCGCGCCCUGCUGAGAAAAAAAAGAAAAGGUGACAUUAGACAUACUCAAAGGCCUUAACAGAAAACAUACCUGCGAAUCUGCAAUCUGCGUCGCGCCCUGCUAGAAAAAAAGAAAAGACAACAUUAGACAUACACAAAGGUCUUAACAGAAAACAUACCUGAAAAUCCUUAAUCUGCGUCGGGCCCUGCAAAAAAAAAGAAAGCCACACGACCUAAA